GGUCUGUGUGUGUGGCACGCAGAGCGCGGGGAUAGACGCGGGGCGCGGCGGGCGAAGCGUGUAUGAAGAAGGCCUUCUUGGUUGUAAAGUACUUUCUAUAGGGAGGAAGGUGUUGUGGUUAAUAACCACAGCAAUUGACGUUACCCGCAGAAGAAGCACCGGCUAACUCCUUGCCAGCAGCCGCGGUAAUUUUUCUAAUAAUC
rnacentral:rRNA from 1 species